UGGGGAAUAUUGGACAAUGGGCGAAAGCCUGAUCCAGCAAUGCCGCGUGAGUGAUGAAGGCCUUAGGGUUGUAAAGCUCUUUUACCCGGGAAGAUAAUGACUGUACCGGGAGAAUAAGCCCCGGCUAACUCCGUGCCAGCAGCCGCGGUAAUACGGAGGGGGCUAGCGUUGUUCGGAAUUACUGGGCGUAAAGCGCACGUAGGCGGCUUUGUAAGUUAGAGGUGAAAGCCCGGGGCUCAACCCCGGAAUAGCCUUUAAGACUGCAUCGCUUGAACGUCGGAGAGGUGAGUGGAAUUCCGAGUGUAGAGGUGAAAUUCGUAGAUAUUCGGAAGAACACCAGUGGCGAAGGCGGCUCACUGGACGACUGUUGACGCUGAGGUGCGAAAGCGUGGGGAGCAAACA
rnacentral:rRNA from 1 species